GAGGGUAUAACUCAGUGGUAGAGAGCAUGCUUAGCAUGCAUGAGAUCCUAGGUACAAUCCCCAGUACCACCA
rnacentral:tRNA from 1 species